rnacentral:misc_RNA from 1 species
UUUCCGUAGGUGAGCCUGCGGAAGGAUCAUUACAGAGUUCAUGCCCACACGGGUAGAUCUCCCACCCUUGAAUAUUUAUACCUUAGUUGCUUUGGCAGGCCGUGGAAACACCAUGGGCUCCGGCUUAUGCGUGCCUGCCAGAGGAAACAAACUCUGUUUUUAGUGAUGUCUGAGUACUAUAUAAUAGUUAAAACUUACAACAACGGAUCUCUUGGUUCUG